rnacentral:rRNA from 1 species
AUACGGAAGGUGCGAGCGUUAUCCGGAUUCAUUGGGUUUAAAGGGAGCGUAGGCGGAGCGCCAAGUCAGCUGUGAAAUCCCGCGGCUCAACCGUGGAACUGCAGUUGAAACUGGCGCCCUUGAGUGCACAUGAGGAUGGCGGAAUUCGUGGUGUAGCGGUGAAAUGCUUAGAUAUCACGAAGAACACCGAUUGCGAAGGCAGCUGUCUGGGGUGCCACUGACGCUGAGGCUCGAACAUUCGGGAAUCAAACCGGAUUAGAUACCCUGGUAGUCCGCACAGUAAACGAUGGACACUCGUGGGCGGAGACACACUGCCGGUCACCAAGCGAAAGCGAUAAGAGUCCCACCUGGGGAGUACGCCGGCAACGGUGAAACUCAAAGUAAUUGACGGGG